AAAAGAGGAAAGAAAAUAAAAAAAGGUCACGAGAAUUCACUGAAAGAAAGCAAAACGACUGUCAUACCUGCAGGCUCAGCUCCGGCGUGUGCCAGCCGUCCUGAAAGGGCAGAAGUCCGAACUUCACCCACAAAACACCCACCUCGAGCAGCACCCGUCCAGAAUAUCUGAAACAACAUGACUGAGUUCAUCUGGCGUGGAAGAAGAUGCCGGAAAGAAGUCUGGUGAGAAGUUGAAUGACAAUACUGGAGAAACUUUUAGGUUUCUGCAUAGGCCUGUUCGAGUUGCUUUUUUCUAGGAGAAGGCACAAGUAUUUUCCAGAAGGCUUUGCAAGUGGCUCUCUGAACUUGAUCAGAACUUGCUGAGCACGAGGUUUGCCUCACUGUGGGCAGCAAGUUUUGCCUUCUGUCUAUUUUUAAGGUAAGGUUUGUGGUGGGGAAGCUAACAAGGGUUUUUGCAAAACAGACUUGACAGUGACCUCCUGUUCAGAGCUGUGCUGUCUGCUCCCCCUGACUGUGUUUGAAUAUCAUGCCUUAACUGCUUAAUGCGAAAAAGGAUUGCUAGCAAAGCACUUUGGGACUUGAUUGCAAAAUUUAUCCAGCCUUCUUGAAAAACAACCAGGAAAAACGUCGUCUGACUCUUUCAGCUCUUUGUUCCUUUUCUUUCCAGGCAGCUGUUGUCUGCUGCUUACUUUCUCAUUCUUGUUGACUAUGUCAUGAGGGUUUUCUUCAUGACUACUUCAAGAUCCCUGCUAUCCUGUGCCCUCCUUUGGUGCAUCUUCUGCCCAGCUUCGUACAUCCCUUCUGCUCUAACCACUUCUCUUUGGCUGAGGUCUUGCGAUGGCCUCAGCAGCUCCUGUCCCUCUGGCAUGCCUGUGACCUGGGAAUAACUUCCUGGUUCUCCCAUGCCUGCUUCCCCAGCACUGACACCUCACAGAAGCAGCUGGGCCCCCUUGGUGGAGGCAGGAGGAAUACAGAAAGGAGCUGGAAAGCAAAAAGUCAAGCUGUCACCAGCAGGUCUAGCUGCUCUCCACCCCCUCUAGGUGAAAGCAGUAAGGUUUACUUACCUUCACUUUUGUUUCGCACCAGUUUCACUUUCUGCCUGUCCUGCUCCAUCCGCAUGCAUUAUUUCAGCACUGGUGAUUCAGCCUCAGUAUUGAAGUGGUUAUACUUUCUCGUACCUUUUCUUUUUAGAAUUGACAGAGUUUAUUCAAGUUUAUGUUGAGAAAAAUUCCUCUACAAGAAGGAUUUUUUGAGCACAAACUUGUAUUCAUUCUCUGGGACA